ACGAACACUGGCGGCGUGCUUAACACAUGCAAGUCGAACGGAAAGGCCCUUGCUUGCAGGGGUACUCGAGUGGCGAACGGGUGAGUAACACGUGGGUGAUCUGCCUUGUACUUCGGGAUAAGCCUGGGAAACUGGGUCUAAUACCGGAUAGGACCAUGCUUUAGUGUGUGUGGUGGAAAGUUUUUUCGGUACAAGAUGAGCCCGCGGCCUAUCAGCUUGUUGGUGGGGUAAUGGCCUACCAAGGCGACGACGGGUAGCCGGCCUGAGAGGGUGUACGGCCACAUUGGGACUGAGACACGGCCCAGACUCCUACGGGAGGCAGCAGUGGGGAAUAUUGCACAAUGGGCGCAAGCCUGAUGCAGCGACGCCGCGUGAGGGAUGACGGCCUUCGGGUUGUAAACCUCUUUCGCUAGGGAAGAAGCCACUUGUGGUGACGGUACCUGGAUAAGAAGCACCGGCUAACUACGU
rnacentral:rRNA from 1 species